rnacentral:rRNA from 1 species
AACGUAGGAGACAAACGUUAUCCGGAGUUACUGGGCGUAAAGGGCGUGUAGGUGGUUACGUAAGUCUGGCGUGAAAUUUUUCGGCUUAACCGGGAAAGGUCGUCGGAUACUGCGGGACUAGAGGACGGUAGAGGCGUGUGGAAUUCCGGGUGUAGUGGUGAAAUGCGUAGAGAUCCGGAGGAACACCAGUGGCGAAGGCGACACGCUGGGCCGUACCUGACACUGAUGCGCGACAGCAUGGGGAGCAAACAGG